AUUGAACGCUGGCGGCAGGCUUAACACAUGCAAGUCGAGCGAGCUGCGGACGGGUGAGUACUGUCUGGGAAACUGCCUGAUGGAGGGGGAUAACUACUGGAAACGGUCGCUAAUACCGCAUACCAUCCUCUGUGCCCAUAUGUGAUUAUCUAGUGGGUGGGGUAAUGGCUCACCCAGGCGCCGAUCCCUGGCUGGUCUGAGAGGAUGACCAGCGAAACUGGAACUGAGAAACGGUCCAGACUCCUACGGGGGGCAGCAGGGGGGAAGAUUGCACAAUGGGGGCAAGCCUGAUGCAGCCAUGCCGCGUGGGUGAAGAAGGCCUUCGGGUUGUAAAGCACGUUAAGCGGGGAGGCGUUACUCGCAGAAGAAGCCCCGGCUAACUCCGUGCCAGCCGCCGCGGUAAUUC
rnacentral:rRNA from 1 species